rnacentral:lncRNA from 1 species
CUCCAUUCUUGAUUAUGUAGAACCAUUCCAAUCCUGAGUGACAGGAUUUGCAAAGACAGCUGUUGGGCUCCACAAACAUUUGGAGGAGGGGAAAAUGUGAGGUUGGUUGCUACAUUCUCCUACUUCUUUUUACUGAAAGGAACAGCUGCGAUCUUCACAUGUAAGAUGAAGUAAACAAAAGCUGACAAUGCCCAGCACCAUUCAGCAGUAAGCAUUCAAAUGGAUUUUUCCUCACCGCGUUUGCAGGCCCGGCACAGUCUCAGUUCCCCACAGCACAGAGAGGAAGCAAGGUCUUUGCAUGCCCUGUUCACUUGGCCAAACAUUGCCCUAGAUGUGCAAUUCAACCCAUAUAAAGCAAGCGUAAUUCAAGAGCCCUGACUCUUUCACCAUUUCAUGAUGGCUUAUUACUCGCACACGGCAUUGUCAGGUUCCAGCAACUCUGUGUGCAGCAGGCAGAAAUGCAGUGUUUAUCUCUGACAGGCAAACAUUCUUAGGCUCAUCGGCAUGAGUAUCCACGCUGAACUGGCUAUCGGGGAAGUAGAUCCCUGCAUGGGAAAGUCAAGUAUCCCCACUGUGUAGAGCUGGUCCACAAUGGAGAGGAGGAAAAGUUUUGCAUUGGACCAAAUCACUGCCUUAGAAGGAAAGAGAUUGCAAUCCCAUUCAUUUUUAAGAUCUGCAAUGGGUUGGGAUGAUACCCAUUUAAAAAAGAAAAAAAAAGAGGUUACCUCUUUGGCCUCUUUGGCAAAGGAUAUGAACUAGUAAUAAAGCCUCAGCAUCAAGGCUUGGGAGUCUGGCUCAAAGUGGCUAAGACUAGAAGCAUCUUCUAACAUAAAUAUGGCAGCAUUAGGAAAAUAGCUUGGCCUUUAGAGAGACCCAGAUUAUCUUCACCUUAAAAACUACCAAGACCCUGGUCCAGCAAGACCACCAUCACAGCAGUAAAUACAUAGCCACCAACUUCACAGAAGGUUUUCCACUGAGACAUUGUGAAAACCACAAUCCAUUACCGGUGGAUGAGUCCCAGCUCUCUUACUACCUGGAGCUUCCAAGCAAGACUUACCUGUCCUUUGUUCCAGAUUGGUUCCUGGGAUCCUGGACCAACACAAAGAGAAGAGGAAAGCCUCAAGGGAAAUAAAAGUGAAGGUUUCAGUGAUAGUUUAAAUAUAUAUUUUUAAAUGUUAGCUUUUUUUUAAAUACUUCACAGUGAUGGAUGGAGUAUUUCAACCACAAUGGCAAAGAAUGAAUUACCGGCAGUGUCAGAGUUUCUUGUUGCUGUGGGAAGACAGCUGCCAUGUUGAGAGGUGCCUUGUGGAGAGGCUCAUGUGGCGAGGAACUGAGACUGGCUUCUAUCCAACAACCAGUGAGGAACUAAGGCCCUAAAGUCCUAUAGUCCACAAGGAACUAAAUCCUACCAACAACUACAUGAGUGAGCCUGGAAUCUGAUUUUCCCCAGUGGGGACUUAAGGUACCUACAACCUGGCUGUUAUGGGCUAAACUGCAUCCUGCCCAAAUUUAUAUGUUUGAGUCUUAACUCCCAGCACUUCAGAACAUGGUUUUGUUUGGAGACAUAGUCAUUAAAGAGGUAAUGAAGUUAAAAUGAGGUCAUUAGGAUGAGUCCUAAUCCAAUAGGACUGGUGUUCUUAUAUGAAGAGGAAAUUUGAACACAGACACAUAUACAGGAAAGACCAUGCGAAGAAGACACAGAGAGGAAACGGCCAUCUACAAUCCAAGGAGAGAGGCCUCAGAACAAGCCAACCCUGCAGAUACCUUGAUCUAGGCAUCCAGAAUUGUAUGAAAAUACAUUUUUGUUAUUUAAGCUACCCAGUCUGUGGUGCUUUGUUAUGGCAAUCCCAGAAAACUAAUUAACUAAUUGACUGCAGCCUUGCAAGGGACCCUGAACCAGAGGACCCAGUUAAGCCAUGUGCAGAUUCCUGACUCACAGAACUAGGAGAUAACAAAUGUUUGUUGUUCUAAGGUGCUAAAUGUUGGGAAAAUAUGUUAUGUGGCUAUGUUGUUUUGCACAUGUGCCACAUAAUGAUGUUUUGGUCAACAACAGACCACACAUAUGAUGGUGGGCCCAUAAGAUUGUAAUACUGUGUUUCUAUUAUGCAUUCUCUAUUUAUAGAUACACAAAUACUUGCCACUGUGUUACAAUUGCCUACUGUCUUCAGUACUGUAACAUGCUGUACAGGUUUGUAGCCCAGAAGCAAUAGACUAUACCAUACAGUCUGGGUGUGUAGUAGGCUAUACCAUCUAUGUUUGUGAAGUACACUCUAUGAUGUUCACAUAAUUAUGAAGUUGCCUAGUGAUGCAUUUCUCAGAAUGCAUGCCCGACAUUAAGUGACACUUGGCUUUAUGUCUAUCAUGCAUUUAAGAUAUUGCAAUAUAGUUAACUUAUGUUUUAAUACACCUCUUAAUUCUGUUUUGAUCCCACACCAACCAAGAUGCAAAACUAAUUUUUUCGCCCAUUUCCAUAAAAAACACAAUUACAAUGGGCCUAAUGUGGUUUAUGUCAUUUUCCCUGAAGAUUUGUGGUGGUAUAGGAAGCAGUCACAGCACCCUGUAUAAAGCUCUUCCAUGGCCUGCCCCCUUUUCGCAGUCACCUCUAUUAUUUGAAGGAAUGGUCCAACCAACCUCAAAGCUCUGGAAAUUUGCCCCAAAAUAAUUUUACCCUGAAGCCAUUGAAGCUUAAGUUUCAGACCCCAGUUUCACAUUCCUGUGAGUUCUGCAAGUCACUGGGAGCUAUAGAGUCUUCUACGUAGAUUUGGGAAACAAGGUGAAAAUACCUCAAGAAAUCUCAGAAGCCAGGGGCCUGCAUCUCCAAGCCUCUGGCAAUUUUCUUGUGGUUUCUAUCCUCACUCUAGAUAUUUGCUUUUGAGACUGAUUUUGAAUUCAGAAUUUUAUAUUCUCUCAAAAAGAGAAUUCUCCAAAUUCUAUAAGCUUCAGGCUCUACAAAACUUGUCUAUUCUGCCUAACUAGAUUUAUCAUAGCACGUACCAAAGAUGGCCCUGCCUCAUGAGGACUUUUCAUAUCAGACCCUUAGAUAAUAAUAUUCCCUCAUGUAAGUAAUAAUAUUUCCGCAUGUAGUUAUGUAUGAAUAAUUUUCAUUCAUCUAUAUCAUGUUGGCCAUAGUCAGUGUCCAUGUCCAAUUUAUUUUUUGUGUCCUUGGUGCUCAGAAAGUUACCAGAUGUUCAGUCAGAAUUUUAUUUAAAAUAUUUUGAUGAACUAGAUUUAAAGAUAGAUUAAAUUAAUUCCUACACAUGAUUUAAUUUAAUGGAUAAAAUAAGGGACUGAGCAUUAGCCUGAACUGUGUACUUGCAUUAGCCCUGAUGUUCCCCAGAGGGAAUAAUAUGUGAAGAAUACUGCAUAGGCUGAAAAACAAGAGUUCCCAGCAGACCAAUAUUCUUUCUUUCUGCAAGCUGUGAGACACCUGGGGAAAGUUCUCCACAUUUGGUUUUUCAGCUACUCCACCCAUGACUAGAAGGAAGAUUUUAUUUUAUUAUUUUAUUUUAUUGUAUUUUUUAACAGUAAAAGAAAAAUUAUUGUUAUUUUAAUGAAAAAGAACCACCUGGAAAGUCUAGUGACAUUUUUGAAGGCAGGGACCACUUUUUCCAGGGAUUUGUUUCCCUAUGCUAGUGCUCCAUUCACCCUUGCACCACUUCAGCAAAGCACAUAGUAGGUGUAGCAGGGAGAUGUUAAGAUGGAAACUUGGCCCUGACCAUAGGCCAAGCCAGGGUGUCUAGUCGGGAUUUAUCCAUAAACAUCAAUAUUUAUCACUAGAUGAUAUAUUGAUUUCUUAUCUGCCUCCUAUACCUAUUGAUCUAUUUUUCACAGCUUAUAGUGGGGAGGGUCAUGUUCAGUUAUUAUCCUUAAACCAAAACAAUCUCUUCUUGAAAAAUAGGAUGCUAUGCUCUGAUGUUUGCAGAGGCCAGGAAAUUCUUGCUCUGAGAGUUCCAGAAAAAAAGAUUUGUCCAGAUUUGAACUAAUUUCAGAAAAACAAAACAAAAACAAAAAACCAUCCAAGGUUAAGAGGUGACUUCUGACUCACAGAAUGAACAAGAAGGCAGGGGAAAAAAUAAGUCCCCCAAGAUUCAGGUCAAAGGAAAUGAACAGAAGGAUGAUGGAGUGGCCCAGAGGAGGAUCACGUGACAGAAAAGUCAAGAUAAAUUAGUGGCAGGACAGAGGAAAAGAACUAAAGACCUGCAGGAUCCUGAAAGAAAGAAUGAAAGGAAGCAGAUGAAGAUUCUAGAGCCCAGCUGAAUAGCCAGGCCGCCUGAGGGUAAAGAGGGAGAGAAAGAGGAAGCAGUGAAUCAAAUCAAAAAAGGAUAGAAAAAUACAGAGAAACAAGCCAGGGCACGGUGGCUCUCACCUGUAAUCCCAGCACUUUGGGAUGACAAGGAAGGCGGAUCACAUGAGGCCAGGAAUUUGAGACCACGCUGGCCAACAUGGCAAAACCCUGUCUCUACUAGAAAAAUAUGGAGGAAUGUUUGAGAGAUUGUGCACUGCCAGGGGUGAGGACAUAAAUUUAUUUGCUAUGUGAAUGUUUUUUGAGACUCAUCUAGUUCCUUUACAAUUUUAAUUUAGAAUUUCUUUAGCUCCAAAUCAGGAUCAUUAGCUGGGAGUUCUUAUAAAUCAAAAGCAAAACAAAGCUAUUGCAAACAAGUGGGAGUUCUCAUAACCUUAAUCAGAAAGGCUUGAGUUGCAUUUCCAAAUCCUGUCUCUAGAGACCAUGAGUUUUUAAUGAUAGUAUUUCCAUGAAAGCCCAAUUGAAUACAAUCACCACCCAGACCAAAGUGUAGGGGAAAUCAUAAAGCUACUUUCAAAUCCGAGUCUUCUUUGAAAUUUAAAAUUAUAUUCCAUGAUAAUGGUUCUCAUAAACCUUAAUGCAAGGGAAAAAAAAAAAACUACAGCAGAAUAAAGAAGAUUUAAAAAGAAGCAGGAUAGGAAAAAAGACAAGCCAGAGGCUAGCUAUAUCUUUUCAUAAAGCACACCUGGUCUCAUAAGCACAUGAGAGCUAGGCCCAGAAGUUUCGAGCCUUGGAGACUCACUUCAAACAAAUUCCAGGGAAAGACACUCAAUUAAGUGUUCAGGACAAUUGUAUAUCCCCAGUGCACUCAUGUACUGGAAGUGCUUAAACUCUGCCCUCAGUGGUCAAUAAAAUGGUAUUAAGUCACAGACAACCCAUUGCCAUUGGUAUUGGCUGAUGUCUCUGGUAGUUUAUGUGAUGACAAACAUUAGCCUUAACAGCAGAGCCUUCCUUUCUUUGAUUUCCGUGUGAAAUUCUGUGGCUGGGAGAUGUUUAUGUUCACAUGAACAUAACUGUAAGCAAACCAUCUUAUGGUAGACAUCUCUCCAGAAAAAGCAAAUUCCAUCUUUUUAAAUAGAAAAAAAAAACAGCAGCAAAAUGAAAUUAAUGCCUUUGGCUCAUUGUGUUGUAAAAUUAUCCUUGAAGUUAUUUCACACUGCCCUAAAAAAUCAUUGAAUUCAGAUUAUAACACAGCUCUUAUGAAGCUGUUAGGCAGUUGCAUCUUUAAUGAGGCUGAGUAGGUAAGAGGAACAGAUACUCUAGAUUGAAAGCCAUCGCAAAAAAUGUGAAACAACUGUAUUAAAUUUAAUUUAAUUUAACCAAUGGGUGUAUUUAUUCCCUGCCUUCUUCCAGAAAGGAUUUAGGGAGCUUAGGUAAUGUGGAGGUCUGAAGGUGUAGAUACUCAUGAAAGCCUCAGAUUAAUAUCUAGAACAUAUAAUGUGUCCAGAUAGUUUUCAAUUAUCAAUGCAUUAAUCUAAGCUUGGAAAGGACUUUUAAACUGCAAUGAAACCUCAACUAGUUUCAAACCUGCAUUUUUUAGUAAGCUAUUUUGUCAUUUGGAGACCCACACAAAAAACCUAUUGUUCCUUUAAAAAGGAGAGAGAGAAAAAAAGAAAAACAACCUGCUGGUGUUGCUUUGUUCAUCUUAUCACCUUAUCAUUCAGCAGCCUAUUCAGGAUCAAAUGUGGGAAAGUCUGUGUGUGAGAUUAAGCCCUAUACUCAGCACAGGAAUUUCUUGGAUAAAUGUCUUUCUUAAAUGGAUAGCUAUGUAAAAAACAGAAGAGAAACUCUAUUAUUACAAUGCAGUUGGGUUUUUUUGUUUGGUAUGUUUCAAAUCUAAUAUUUAAAAUUAAGAAAAUUCAAAGCAAACCAUCUGUGUGGAUGUUUUCAUACUCCAUUUUUGUGACAAUAGCUUGCUUAACCGAGAUUAUUAGUGGAUUCUUUCAAUAAGAGGAAGAGAGUACCAUCAUUAAGAUGGUAUGCCUCCACUAGCCUUUAUUUUUGAGAUUAAAGAAUGACAAAAAUAUUUAUAUAUAUUUUUUCAUUAUUAAGACGGAGUCUCACUCUAUCGCCAAGGCUGGAGUGCAGUGGCGCCAUCUUGGCUCACUGCAACCUCUGCCUCCCAGGUUCAAGCAAUUCUCCCACUUCGGCCUCCUGAGUAGCUGGGAUCACAGGCACCCGCCACCACACCUGGCUAAUUUUUGUAUUUUUAGUAGAGAUGGGGUUUCACCACAUUGCCCAGGCUGGUCUCAAAUUCCUGACCUCAAGUGAUCCGCCUGCCUCAGCAUCCCACAGUGCUGGGAUUACAGGCAUGAGCCACCACAACUAGCCAAAAAAUAUAUAUUUUCU